UAUAUAUAUGUAUUCAUAGACAAAAAAGUACUAAUUGCUGAAAAGCUGCCGGUCAUGCUAUGAAUAUCAAAUUGCAAAUAUCUCAAAACAAGGUUUACAUACAUACGCACGCACGCGCAUAUACGUGUAUGUAUGUUUGUGUGCAUAUAUAUGUAUAUAUAUAUAUAUAUAUAUAUAUAUAUAUAUAUAUAUAUAUAUAUAUAUAUAUAUACAUUUAAAUAUACGCACAUUGUCCUAAUACGGUACUACGGUAGAACAUAUUUUAUAAUAGCAAAUUCACAGGCCUCACACAGUGUUUGAAAUAAAAAAAAGUUAGAGUGAAAAUAAAAGAGAAGGAAAACAUGGCGUGACACCCCAGUGCUGUCUGAAUACAGUUAGCUCUGCACUCCACGUACUUUGCAAUGGGUCUCCUUAAGUGGGUGAUUGCACUCUGCCUCCUCGGUGUGUGGCAACUUCUCUUACGUCCGGCAUCCCGGGUGCACCAACGCAGGGCGCUUCUUACACGGAUUAUUUCGGAAACACAUUUUCAAGAAGAGCUUUAACUGUGUAAAUUGCAAAAUGCCAUAACAGCUUCUCAUGAACCACUUACGGCUUCCUCAUUGCUGGAUCAUGGCAUGGUGUCAUCAUGAAAAAUUCUUCGACUGAAAUGAAUAAAUACAUCAACAUGUAAA
rnacentral:lncRNA from 1 species